rnacentral:lncRNA from 1 species
AAAUAAAAGACUCCCCCAAAUAAUUCCCUUUUCACAUCUUCAAAUUUCUUCCAUUUAUAUUUUUCAUUGUCAGUUUCCAGUGCAGCUUAACUCUGAGUGUGCUGAAGCUUGAAAUGUAGCUUCCGAUUUAUAAUAGCGACAGGACAUGCAGCAAAUGUCAACAAAUCCCCUGUCACCCAGGCAAGGAGGAAAUGUGAGAGACUCAAAAAUGGACAUAAUGAGUGUCAAAGACCCAAACAAGUUAAUUUCCUGAGUUACAAGCAACCAGAGCAGGAAGGAGUAGAAAAAUGCUGGUUAACAAUGAUUCUUAGAAAUGUCCAAGUCUCCUAA